AGAUGCUGGCAUCUCCUCUCUGGAUUGUCAUUGCCUGCUUUCGUGUCAGGCUCAGCCCUUGCACCGUGAGCUCCCAGAGGGAAGAGGGGGAUCUCUUGCCUGUCUCCAUCCCCUGGGCCUGGCAGGUGGUAAAUGCUUCUGAAGAGAUGAGGAAAGGGCCCAGAGAGCUGCAGCGCAGCUUCCUGCCUGCAGAGGGGGUGAGAGGCCACACUGCAGCCGUCUGCCUGGAGCCCACGGACAGAGCUUUAGUUCUUUCGAGAUGGCCGAGGAAAGGGGAAGGAAGGAUCUGGCUUUGCUGCCCACGCUGGAGUGUGGUGGUGUGAUCACAGCUCACUGCAACCUCUGCUCUGCCUCCCAGGUUCGACUGAUCCUCCUGCUUCAGCCUCCUGAGUAGCUGGGACUACAGAUGUAGAUGAGUGUGCCCAAGGGCUAGAUGACUGCCAUGCCGACGCCCUGUGUCAGAACACACCCACCUCCUACAAGUGCUCCUGCAAGCCUGGCUACCAAGGGGAAGGCAGGCAGUGUGAGGACAUCGAUGAAUGUGGAAAUGAGCUCAAUGGAGGCUGUG
rnacentral:sRNA from 1 species